UCACAUUCCUCAGUAAAAUCCUAUUCAAAUUAUAAAUAUUUGAAAAAAUAGGAAAAGGAUAAGAUACUAGAAUUCAUGUGGGCGAGACUUACGUAUUAUAAUUGCUGGAAGUCUUGCCACAUGUUAAUCUAGUAUUUUUAUCAUUUUCCUUUUUUUUUCUAGUUUUUACACUACGAGGUAUUUACGACGAUUUCUACUUACGUGGAAUUAACGAGUGUUAUGUUUAAAUCAUUUUACGUGGUAUUUACGACGAUUUCAACUUACGUGGAAUUAACGAGUGUUAUGUUUAAAUCCUUUUACGUGGUCUUUACGACGAUUUGUGCUUACGUGGAAUUAACGAGUAUUAUGUUUAAAUCCUUUUACGUGGUCUUUACGACGAUUUGUGCUUACGUGGAAUUAACGAGUAUUAUGUUUAAAUCCCUAAAAUUCGAAACCUCCAAACCCCAAACCCCAAACCCCAAACCCCAAACCCCAAACCCCAAACCUGAAACCCCAAACCCCAAACCUCAAACCACGAAACCUCCAAACCCCAAACCUCAAACCCCAAACUCCACACCCCAAACCCCAAAC
rnacentral:lncRNA from 1 species